ACACACUCCAACACUCAGACAUUAUUUACAGAUAGCCAGGGACACACUCCAACACUCAGACAUCAUUUACAGAUAGCCAGGGGCACACUCCAACACUCAGACAUCAUUUACAGAUAGCCAGGGGAACACUCCAACACUCAGACAUUAUUUACAGAUAGCCAGGGGCACACUCCAACACUCAGACAUUAUUUACAGAUAGCCAGGGGCACACUCCAACACUCAGACAUUAUUUACAGAUAGCCAGGGGCACACUCCAACACUCAGACAUUAUUUACAGAUAGCCAGGGACACACUCCAACACUCAGACAUUAUUUACAGAUAGCCAGGGGCACACUCCAACACUCAGACAUCAUUUACAGAUAGCCAGGGGCACACUCCAACACUCAGACAUCAUUUACAGAUAGCCAGGGGCACACUCCAACACUCAGACAUCAUUUACAGAUAGCCAGGGGCAC
rnacentral:lncRNA from 1 species